rnacentral:rRNA from 1 species
CCCUUAGAUGUUCUGGGCCGCACGCGUGCUACACUGAGUGGAUCAGCGGGUCAGGUUGCGCGAAAGCGUUUCCUAAUCUUUAAAUCCGCUCGUGAUGGGGAUUGACGGUUGCAAUUUUCUGUCAUGAACGAGGAAUACCUUGUAAGCGCGGGUCAUCAUCCCGCGCUGAAUACGUCCCUGCCCUUUGUACACACCGCCCGUCGCUCCUACCGAUUGAGUGGUCCGGUGAGGCUUUGGGAUCUGAGGGAAAGAGCGUUUCGCUGUUUCUGCUCGGAAAACUCAGUCGAACCUUAUCAUUUAGAGGAAGGAGAAGUCGUAACA